rnacentral:rRNA from 1 species
UGGGGAAUAUUGCACAAUGGGCGCAAGCCUGAUGCAGCCAUGCCGCGUGUAUGAAGAAGGCCUUCGGGUUGUAAAGUACUUUCAGCGGGGAGGAAGGUGUUGAGGUUAAUAACCUCAGCAAUUGACGUUACCCGCAGAAGAAGCACCGGCUAACUCCGUGCCAGCAGCCGCGGUAAUACGGAGGGUGCAAGCGUUAAUCGGAAUUACUGGGCGUAAAGCGCACGCAGGCGGUCUGUCAAGUCGGAUGUGAAAUCCCCGGGCUCAACCUGGGAACUGCAUUCGAAACUGGCAGGCUAGAGUCUUGUAGAGGGGGGUAGAAUUCCAGGUGUAGCGGAGAAAUGCGUAGAGAUCUGGAGGAAUACCGGUGGCGAAGGCGGCCCCCUGGACAAAGACUGACGCUCAGGUGCGAAAGCGUGGGGAGCAAACA